CUUGUUCUCCCUCCGUCCGAAAAUACUUGUCAUUGAAAUGGAUGUAUCUAGAUGUAUUUUAGUUCUAGACACAUCCAUUUUGAUGACAAGUAAUUCCGGAUGGAGGGAGUACUUG
rnacentral:pre_miRNA from 1 species